GGGCGAUUAGCUCAGUUGGCUAGAGCGACUCAUUUACACUGAGUAGGCCAGGGGUUCGAAUCCUCUAUCGCCCA
rnacentral:tRNA from 1 species